rnacentral:rRNA from 1 species
AAGAGGGCACCUAGCAGUCGAGCGGAUGACGGGAGCUUGCUCCUUGAUUCAGCGGCGGACGGGUGAGUAAUGCCUAGGAAUCUGCCUGGUAGUGGGGGACAACGUUCCGAAAGGAGCGCUAAUACCGCAUACGUCCUACGGGAGAAAGUGGGGGAUCUUCGGACCUCACGCUAUCAGAUGAGCCUAGGUCGGAUUAGCUAGUUGGUGAGGUAAAGGCUCACCAAGGCGACGAUCCGUAACUGGUCUGAGAGGAUGAUCAGUCACACUGGAACUGAGACACGGUCCAGACUCCUACGGGAGGCAGCAGUGGGGAAUAUUGGACAAUGGGCGAAAGCCUGAUCCAGCCAUGCCGCGUGUGUGAAGAAGGUCUUCGGAUUGUAAAGCACUUUAAGUUGGGAGGAAGGGCAGUAAGUUAAUACCUUGCUGUUUUGACGUUACCGACAGAAUAAGCACCGGCUAACUCUGUGCCAGCAGCCGCGGUAAUACAGAGGGUGCAAGCGUUAAUCGGAAUUACUGGGCGUAAAGCGCGCGUAGGUGGUUCGUUAAGUUGGAUGUGAAAGCCCCGGGCUCAACCUGGGAACUGCAUCCAAAACUGGCGAGCUAGAGUAUGGUAGAGGGUGGUGGAAUUUCCUGUGUAGCGGUGAAAUGCGUAGAUAUAGGAAGGAACACCAGUGGCGAAGGCGACCACCUGGACUGAUACUGACACUGAGGUGCGAAAGCGUGGGGAGCAAACAGGAUUAGAUACCCU